rnacentral:tRNA from 1 species
GGGCGGUUAGCUCAGUUGGUUAGAGUGCCACGUUGACAUCGUGGAGGUCGUUGGUUCGACUCCAAUACCGCGCACCA